UUGAACGCUGGCGGCAGGCCUAACACAUGCAGGUCGAGCGCGAAAGGUUUUCGGACUGAGUAAAGCGGCAGACGGGUGAGUAACGCGUGGGAAUCUGCCCAGUAGUGGGGGACAACAGUCGGAAACGACUGCUAAUACCGCAUACGCCCUACGGGGGAAAGGGGGGGAUCUUCGGACCUCUCGCUAUUGGAUGAGCCCGCGUCGGAUUAACUAGUUGGUAGGGUAAAGGCCUACCAAGGCUACGAUCCGUAACUGGUCUGAGAGGAUGAUCAGUCACACUGGAACUGAGACACGGUCCAGACUCCUACGGGAGGCAGCAGUGGGGAAUAUUGGACAAUGGGGGCAACCCUGAUCCAGCCAUGCCGCGUGUGUGAAGAAGGCCUUAGGGUUGUAAAGCACUUUCAGUGGGGAGAAAGGUUUGUCACCUAAUACGUGAUGAAAUUGAUGUUACCCACAGAAGAAGCACCGGCUAACUCCGUGCCAGCAGCCGCAGUAA
rnacentral:rRNA from 1 species